rnacentral:piRNA from 1 species
UCCUCUUCUGGAUUCUGUGGCUACCAAGA